rnacentral:rRNA from 1 species
GUCAAACUAUUACAGCAGAAAUUAAUUUAUUGUGAACAAAGAAAAUAAAGAUAAUCAAUGGUGAAAUAUAAUCUAUUCAUAUUUCCUAUUUUCUCUAUAAAUUAAAAAAAUUGACUUAAAACAAGGAUUAGAUACCCUUUUAUUCAAUAUUUAUUAUGUUCAUAGGGUAUUAAAACUUAAUAAGUUAAAACCCAACUAACAUGGCGGUGAUUUCAAAUUUCAGGGGAACUUACUCAAUAAUAGAUAACCACCAAGGUAAAUUAACUAUAUGAAACUCUUGUAUGCCGCCGUCUUCAGAAAAAACAUAAUGUUUUUUCAAUAAACAAAAGGAAAGACAGGUCAAGGUGCAGACAAUCCUAUAGAUGAAGCGAGUUACAUUUUCACUUUGAAGCGGUAAUUAUAAAGUAAUAAAUAAUUUAAGUUGGACUUGAUAGUAAUUAUUAUUACUUUUAUAUAAUGAACAUUAUGAAAUCGUGUACAA